rnacentral:rRNA from 1 species
GACGAACGCUGGCGGCGUGCCUAAUACAUGCAAGUAGAACGCUGAAGGAGGAGCUUGCUCUUCUGGAAGAGUUGCGAACGGGUGAGUAACGCGUAGGUAACCUGCCUGGUAGCGGGGGAUAACUAUUGGAAACGAUAGCUAAUACCGCAUAACAGUAGAUGUUGCAUGACAUUUGCUUAAAAGGUGCAAUUGCACCACUACCAGAUGGACCUGCGUUGUAUUAGCUAGUUGGUGGGGUAACGGCUCACCAAGGCGACGAUACAUAGCCGACCUGAGAGGGUGAUCGGCCACACUGGGACUGAGACACGGCCCAGACUCCUACGGGAGGCAGCAGUAGGGAAUCUUCGGCAAUGGACGGAAGUCUGACCGAGCAACGCCGCGUGAGUGAAGAAGGUUUUCGGAUCGUAAAGCUCUGUUGUAAGAGAAGAACGAGUGUGAGAGUGGAAAGUUCACACUGUGACGGUAUCUUACCAGAAAGGGACGGCUAACUACGUG